rnacentral:rRNA from 1 species
CCUACGGGUGGCAGCAGUGGGGAAUAUUGGACAAUGGGGGGAACCCUGAUCCAGCCAUGCCGCGUGUGUGAAGAAGGCCCUCGGGUUGUAAAGCACUUUCAGUGAGGAAGAACGCCUGGUGGUUAAUACCCAUCAGGAAAGACUUCACUCACAGAAGAAGCACCGGCUAACUCCGUGCCAGCAGCCGCGGUAAUACGGAGGGUGCGAGCGUUAAUCGGAAUUACUGGGCGUAAAGCGCGCGUAGGUGGCUUGAUAAGCCGGUUGUGAAAGCCCCGGGCUCAACCUGGGAACGGCAUCCGGAACUGUCAAGCUAGAGUGCAGGAGAGGAAGGUAGAAUUCCCGGUGUAGCGGUGAAAUGCGUAGAGAUCGGGAGGAAUACCAGUGGCGAAGGCGGCCUUCUGGACUGACACUGACACUGAGGUGCGAAAGCGUGGGUAGCAAACAGGAUUAGAUACCCGUGUAGUC